rnacentral:lncRNA from 1 species
UUGUGAUGGUUGGUAUUAUAGUGAUUGUUAUGAUGGUGGCAGUUGAUAGUGGUGGUGGUGGUCGUGAUGUGACGUUGCUUGAUGUUAGUAGUUGGAGGUAUUGAUUGUGAUGACUAAAAAAUGAAUGAAUGAUGGUUGACGAUGUGUUAGUGCUAGUUGGAGAUAUUGUUAGUUGUGGUGGUGGAGAUGGUUGUUAGUUGAGAUAAAUUGUAGCGAUGAUAGUGAUUGAAGUGAUGGUAGAGGUGGCGUUACUAGUGACAAUAAUGGUGGUAACCGCCGAAGAAUGUGUGGAGGUGGUGAUGUAUUAGUAUUAGUUAGCGGUGGUGCUAGUUGUGAUAGAUAAG